UACGGGGGGUGCGAGCGUUGUCCGGAAUCACUGGGCGUAAAGCGUGCGUAGGUGGUUUGUUAAGUCUGCUGUGAAAGCCCCGGGCUCAACCUGGGAAUGGCAGUGGAUACUGGCAAGCUAGAGUGCGGUAGAGGGGUGUGGAAUUCCCGGUGUAGCGGUGAAAUGCGUAGAGAUCGGGAGGAACACCAGUGGCGAAGGCGGCACCCUGGACCAGCACUGACACUGAGGCACGAAAGCGUGGGGAGCAAACAGG
rnacentral:rRNA from 1 species